GGAUCGAUGAUGACUCCACAAAUGCAUUCCUUGAAAGCUGAACAAAAUGAGUGAAAACUCUAUACCGUCUCAUCUCAUCCGAACCUGGAGGUCC
rnacentral:snoRNA from 1 species